rnacentral:rRNA from 1 species
AGCGACCUGCCCCUCCGCGGGGGAUAGCCGGCCCAACGGCCGGGUAAUACCGCAUACGGUCCAGCCGGGGCAUCCCGGGUGGAGGAAACCUCCGGGGCGGAGGGAGGGGCUCGCGGCCUAUCAGCUCGUUGGCGGGGUGACGGCCCACCAAGGCGACGACGGGUAGCUGGUCUGAGAGGAUGGCCAGCCACAUUGGGACUGAGAGACGGCCCAGACUCCUACGGGAGGCAGCAGUGGGGAAUCUUGCGCAAUGGCCUGACGGCUGACGCAGCGACGCCGCGUGUGGGAGGACGCCCCUCGGGGUGUAAACCACUGUUGCCCGGGACGAACCCGGAGUUUCGA